CCUACGGGAGGCUGCAGUGAGGAAUAUUGGUCAAUGGGCGCAAGCCUGAACCAGCCAUGCCGCGUGCAGGGUGACGGCCCUAUGGGUUGUAAACUGCUUUUGUACGGGAAGAAACACCGGUUCGUGAACCGGCUUGACGGUACCGUAAGAAUAAGGAUCGGCUAACUCCGUGCCAGCAGCCGCGGUAAUACGGAGGAUCCAAGCGUUAUCCGGAAUCAUUGGGUUUAAAGGGUCCGUAGGCGGAUCUGUAAGUCAGUGGUGAAAUCUCCCGGCUCAACCGGGAAACUGCCAUUGAUACUGCAGGUCUUGAAUGUCUGUGAAGUAACUAGAAUAUGUAGUGUAGCGGUGAAAUGCUUAGAUAUUACAUGGAAUACCGAUUGCGAAGGCAGGUUACUAACAGAUGAUUGACGCUGAUGGACGAAAGCGUGGGGAGCGAACAGGAUUAGAUACCCUUGUAGUC
rnacentral:rRNA from 1 species